UACGGAGGGUGCGAGCGUUGUCCGGAAUCACUGGGCGUAAAGGGCGCGUAGGCGGCGCGGGUAGUCAUCGGUGAAAGUUCAGGGCUCAACUCUGAAUCGGCCGGUGAUACUCUCGUGCUUGAGCACUGUAGAGGCAGGUGGAAUUCCUGGUGUAGCGGUGAAAUGCGCAGAUAUCAGGAAGAACACCCGUGGCGAAGGCGGCUCUCUGGGACGGUACUGACGCUGAGACGCGAAAGCGUGGGGAGCGAACAGG
rnacentral:rRNA from 1 species